GAAAGGUUCCAUGUGAACAGUAAUUGGACAUGUGUGAGUCGAUCCUAAGAGAAAGGACAAUUCUUUGUGAAAGCGGACCUUUUUUGGUUGGUCCCAGCUAUCGAAAGGGAAUAAGGGAGAC
rnacentral:rRNA from 1 species